ensembl:lncRNA
GUAGUGUCACCCAUGUAUCAUCUAACACACUCCCUUCAUUUAAACAGGCCCUCAAAACCCACCUUUUCAAGAUCACCUUUCAACACAUAACCUCCUUCCCUUCUCUACCCUCCCUCCUUUUAACUAGUCUUUUAUACCUAUUUCAGUUUUUUAGAUAACUAUUUUCACCCUAUUUUAUCUUCUUACUUAUAUAUGAUAUUAUUAAAUGUUUUUAUUCUGUGUUCACUCUGUUGAUAAGCGACUUUGAGUAUUUAGAAAAGCGCUAUAUAAGCUGAAUUUAUUAUUAUUAUGAUUAUUAUUACGUAAGAAUAUGCAUUUAAAAUAAUAAAAAUCUCAAAGGUAACAUUAGCUGGUUGUCCAUCAAUGGAGUUGGACUCAUAAGGUGAAUUAUGUUGUGAAUACUUUAUGGGAGCGUAUCUUCUUAAUCUUUGAGUCAGUCUCCAAAACACAUUUCCUUUCCUAAUAAACCCCUAAAUCCCUGAAAAGCUCAAAUCUGCAGACAAACAUAAGGAAAAAGCUUUGCACCAUGCAUGUCAACUGAUUGAUUGCCUUUGUAGUUCUGAAAGAGUUAGGUAGGUUUACUGUAGUAUUAAAUAUUUUUAUUGUAGUUCUGAAGGAGCACCAUUUUGUGAUUCAGAAUGAGUUUAUUGUGAAUCAGAAGUAGUUUAUUGUAAUUCUGAAACCUUUUAUUGUAGUUCUGAAGGAGCACCUUAUUGACGAGUGUUUCUUUAUUAUUAACACCAGGGUUAUUCAGGAAAUGGCUGGCCAUGAUAAUUAUGAAACCAACCUGUCACAGUUUCAACGGUUGUUUGUCUUUGUGUAGUUUUUGUUUCUUCCUCCAGAUCUCCUCAGUUAUUCUUUUCCCUCCCAUCCUUAU